rnacentral:rRNA from 1 species
GAUGAACGCUGGCGGCGUGCCUAAUACAUGCAAGUCGAGCGAACAGACGAGGAGCUUGCUCCUCUGACGUUAGCGGCGGACGGGUGAGUAACACGUGGAUAACCUACCUAUAAGACUGGGAUAACUUCGGGAAACCGGAGCUAAUACCGGAUAAUAUAUUGAACCGCAUGGUUCAAUAGUGAAAGACGGUUUUGCUGUCACUUAUAGAUGUAUCCGCGCCGCAUUAACUAGUUGGUAAGGUAACGGCUUACCAAGGCAACGAUGCGUAGCCGACCUGAGAGGGUGAUCGGCCACACUGGAACUGAGACACGGUCCAGACUCCUACGGGAGGCAGCAGUAGGGAAUCUUCCGCAAUGGGCGAAAGCCUGACGGAGCAACGCCGCGUGAGUGAUGAAGGUCUUCGGAUCGUAAAACUCUGUUAUUAGGGAAGAACAAAUGUGUAAGUAACUAUGCACGUCUUGACGGUACCUAAUCAGAAAGCCACGGCUAACUACGUG